rnacentral:rRNA from 1 species
CUCGUAGGCGGCCACUCAAGUCGAAUGUGAAACCUCGAGGCUUAACCUCGAGCCUGCAUUCGAUACUGGGCGGCUAGAGUCUGGUAGGGGGAUCUGGAAUUCCUGGUGUAGCGGUGGAAUGCGCAGAUAUCAGGAGGAACACCGGUGGCGAAGGCGGGAUCCUGGGCCAGUACUGACGCUGAGGAGCGAAAGCGUGGGGAGCAAACAGGAUUAGAUACCCUGGUAGUCCACGCCGUAAACGAUGGGCGCUAGGUGUGGGAGGUCAUCGACUCCUUCCGUGCCGCAGCUAACGCAUUAAGCGCCCCGCCUGGGGAGUACGGCCGCAAGGCUAAA